CGUACCCAAUGUUGGCUUAGAUGAAUUAUCUAGCCAACCCAUCUACACCUACAUAAUUAUUUGAUGACCACAGUUGCUCUUCUAGUGUCCUAUAAUAUUUGGAUUUUGAAGAACGCUCUCCCUUCCUCAUUGUGUUAGUUUAUUUUAUUUGACCUAAAAUUUCAUUUCUAUCUAACAUUACUUUUUUCAGUUCUAUCCUUUGUCAGUUCCUAUCUAUCUAGGUACUUACAGAAAAGGUUGGCCAAUUUUCAAGGAAUAUUAUAACAACAUCUAGACUGAACGACAACGAAAUGUAAGCUCAGAUUAGGUGGAACUAGUAAUUCAUAGGCUAUGUUUGUUUGCAAAAAUGAUAGGUGGAAUCUGACUAUUUGUAGUAUCAUCACCAGUCCGGACUAUUUAUUGUUGAUUAGUCCGUUAUUUAAUCCAUCGACUAUUUCUGAUCAUUUCUAAAAUCAUGUGAUACAUGGGAUUAUAUAAUAUCACCUUUCCACAUAGGAUUAUAAUCCAAUUUCAAAUGGCCUUAAAAAUGAUAAGCUAUUCCUAACUUGCCAAGUAUCUAGCUCAAAUUGACUUUAAAGUCUGAUAUUAGAAAUAUCAAGCCCGAGAUAAUUCAAAACAGAGGCAUCCAUCAUCAGAUAAUCCUAGUAAUUAAAAUUAACAAAAAAAUAUAUACAACUCAUCAACGAAAAACGAAAAAUACGGACUAGUUUACUCACAAAUUAUUUCUAAAAUCUCAAUAAUUAAAUGUAAUAGAGUCAAAAUUAACUUUGUGUAUCCAUAUAUAUAAACAUGUACAUAUACAGAGAGAGAUAGAGAUAGGGAUAGAGAGAGACUGACGCGUCGGGAAGGAGUUGAGUAUGGAAAGAAAGACUUUGCGGCAGAAGCAGUGCAACGAUGGAAUGUUGAAGAAGAUGGAUGAGUGAACAGUGUGCAGAAUCCUCCAUUGCCGAAUUGUCUCAUUAGAAGAAGCUCCAGACUGCUUAAUUUAAUUCCUGUUUAAUUUCUCUCUCUCUCUCUCUCUCUCUCUCUCUCUUCGUUGUCCCGUUCCUCCCUGCUUAUCGAUGAUAUUGAUAGUUCAGGCCUCAGGGUGUAUUUGGUGCUUCUCAUUACAUACCCCGUGUUCGGGAAUAACUUGUCAG
rnacentral:lncRNA from 1 species